AUUCUGCCCAAGCGGGGAAGGAUGAGAAGCUUCGACCGAGGUGCGACUCGAGCGCCAGCGAGAAAGCGUUGCCGCAGGCAACGACCCGAAGGGUGAAGCGCGCAGCGCUGAGUAAUCCUUCCCCCACCACCA
rnacentral:sRNA from 1 species